GCAGCUUUAAAAGUUUAGCUUCAUGGACAUUACAGCAGAGCAGCAGGGCCGGACUCACCCGGUCGUGGCCCUGGGCUGGAGCCGGUUUGGUGCCCAGUCCGCUGCACAAAAUCUCUCCUACUGAUUACUGUAGGUGAUCCUGCAGCUGUAAAGCUCCAAAGAUUCAUGGAGUUCAUCUGAUCAAUCAGUUUUAUAUAAGACACAAUGUAAAGCAUAAAUUCAUUAAAAAAAUUGAAUAAAAGUAAUCUUUGGAGCCCUGGGCUACCGAAACUGUAAACUAAAAUCUGUCCCAGGCCACACUAAGAAGAAUUACAGAAAAUUACAGAAAAUUAUGAGAAUAAAGUCACAGAAGAAUAACAUCAUAAUACAAUGACUUAUGACUUUAUUCUCAUAAUAUUACUAACUUUAUUUCUGAUAUUUAUGUGUUAUUGUUUUGUCCUUAAUACUCUGUUGCUAAAACAAAGAAUUUAAACUGAAAAAUGAAAUAAUU